GGAUUAAUGAAGACUCAGGUAUAUGGACCUACUGCAGGAUUAAUGAAGACUCAGGAGCACGGACUAUUCUCUCAUGUUGAAUGUGGCGCUUUUUACAUACAAGCAGGAGAGCAACUACACCAAGAUUUUGGAAAACAUGUUAUGUAAGGUUAAUUGUGCCCUCUAAGAUGGGGAUCUGAUAAAGAAGAAAAAUACCUCACAGCGAUGAUUGGCAUGUGAUCACUUAGCCAAUGAGAUAAGAGGCUGUAGAAACGAUGUGAUGAUGACGUCUCCUGAGUUCCAGAGACAGAAGAGGAAAGAGGUAAAUCCAGGACAAGCAACUUCAUUUUAGCAG